rnacentral:rRNA from 1 species
GACGAACGCUGGCGGCGUGCUUAACACAUGCAGGUCGAACGAUGAAGCUGGAGCUUGCUCCAGUGGAUUAGUGGCGAACGGGUGAGUAACACGUGAGCAAUCUGCCCUUGACUCUGGGAUAACUGCGGGAAACUGCAGCUAAUACCGGAUACGACACCUUGGGGCAUCCCGGGGUGUGGAAAGAAUUUCGGUCAAGGAUGAGCUCGCGGCCUAUCAGCUUGUUGGUGAGGUAAAGGCUCACCAAGGCGACGACGGGUAGCCGGCCUGAGAGGGUGACCGGCCACACUGGAACUGAGACACGGUCCAGACUCCUACGGGAGGCAGCAGUGGGGAAUAUUGCACAAUGGGCGAAAGCCUGAUGCAGCAACGCCGCGUGAGGGAUGACGGCCUUCGGGUUGUAAACCUCUUUUAGCAGGGAAGAAGCGAAAGUGACGGUACCUGCAGAAAAAGCACCGGCUAACUACGUGCCAGCAGCCGCCGUAA